GGGGUCGUAGUUCAGUUUGGUUUAGAACGCCGGCCUGUCACGUCGGAGGUCGCGGGUUCGAACCCCGUCGGCCCCGCCA
rnacentral:tRNA from 1 species